GCUAACUGGGCACCACAACACCACAUCUUUAGCCAGUCCAAACUCAUCCAUCUUCCACCAUAUUUUCAGGUAAUCUUCAACCAUCCCACACCUGCCACAUCUUCCAUCACCUUCCAUCUUCCAUCUCCACCAAAAAUCAAGGGUUUUAAGGCCUAAUUUGGGUAGAACUCCACAUGAGAAACCGGGGGUUCUCGACGACGAAUUGUCGUUCCGGAAAGUAUCACCAUUCACCAUCACCCUUAAUCAACUUCCCUUGGACCCAGGAACUUGACCUAACAGGUUGUAGGGGCGUUGGAACACCGAGGAAGUCGAAUGGAAGAACACCCACCUUAGGGUUUCCCGCGGUUCGUGGCCAGUUUAAAGUGUUUUCCGGCCAAAUUGGCCUUGGCCGCAGCGAUGGUGGAAUACCAGAUGAUAAGGGGACUAAGAGUUACUCGUAAGUGCCACAGUCAGACAUACUUUUAUUUAUGCUUUUGAUUUUUGUUUGUGAUUACUCAUUAGGUGUUAAAAGUUUCGGAUUUGGGAAUUCCUAAUCCAAAUAAUUGGAAUUCCAGUCACCCCAUUGCAAUUUGGGAAUUUCCGAUUUGAUUUGGGUGCACUCUUGUUGGGAAGAGAUUAUCAAUCUGGAGUUUAAAAAACUUGCUAUCGUUUAGGGUUAAAUACUUAUACUACUCUAUUGAUUUUCAAUUCCCGUUAGGUUGUAGUAAUUUCCAUUAAACAGAGGGCAAAAAAGAAACUGAAAUAACUAUAAACUCAAUUGACAAAUUAACAUAUGAAAUUAAAGCCACUCCUCACCUCUCCUUCAUAGAUCCCCCUAAACUAAAAGAGUUGUCCCUUCUAAUCCAUUCAAAAUGCAUAUUUGUGGGAUUAGUAGGGAUAAUUUUUCUGUCCCUUUUAAUCCAUUCAGAAUGCAUAUUUGUAGGAUUAGUAGGGAUAAUUUUUCUGCACUCAGUAUCGUUCAUCGUGGACUAAAUAUGGAAGUUACCAUUCGUAUCUUUCUUCAGUGUGCCUUCAACAUAGGGAGUUAUCUUAUCCAAGCCAAACUGCACAUCAUUCCUCAACAUUUGAGGACGUAGAUGACUCCUUGCCAUCAUAUAAAGUCUACUGGCAGACGGCAGUUCGUUGGUCUACGAACUCAAUCCGAAACAAAUGACAUCGUUGUCCUGCAUUUCCACACACUAGUUCGAGGCAAUGGGAAUACAAGACGUCUCUGAAAUGCAUGCAUUUUAAUUCAUGUAUAUACAUAUGUUAAAACUAAAUAGAUAUAUAUAUGAAUAAAGAGUACUAGUUUGAGAUCAAAUGAACUAGUGCAUACAACGCACUGUGAUUAAGAACUCGUAACUCCAGAAAUCUUGUCAGGUAUGCAUCCAAUACCAAAUGAAUGGAUGUAUCAAUGUCACAGCCAUUUGAUAUG